rnacentral:rRNA from 1 species
GCCUGCAUGAAGUCGGAAUUGCUAAUAAUCGCGGAUCAGCAUGCCGCGGUGAAUACGUUCCCGGGCCUUGUACACACCGCCCGUCACACCAUGGGAGCCGGUAAUACCCGAAGUCAGUAGUCCAACCUCGUGAGGACGCUGCCGAAGGUAGGAUUGGCGACUGGGGUGAAGUCGUAACAAGGUAGC